CAGCAUCUCAUUGUCAUCAAGAAUAAAAGACCCUUGGGGUGCCUGGGUGGCUCAGUCAGAUAGGUCUAAAUAUAACAACAUUCUGGGAAAUUUUGCCUCAGCCCUGUCCUCUGAGAUCAUUAGCAAGAAGUGUGUUCACCAUGAUUCCAGUUCAGCAAAGAAGGCUCAUCAGAAGAAGGAAGCACACCCCCCAGGUGAGACUCCAUCUCAGAGAGAAGACACCCAAGAUUUGGAGGGCAGCAUAUCCAGUCCGCUCCACGUUACCCUUUUCUUUAAGAUGACGAAACAGAUGCAUGGACGGGUUAUAUGACGUGGUCCAAAUUACACAAGCAAAAGUGGUGUACCCAAUUCACUGGAUCCCUGAGCCUGGGUUCUUAGAUCUUAUACCAUCAGGCCAUCAGCGGAUGGCCAUCAGCUUCACAUCACAGCCACCAGCUUCAUGACCCAGCUCCUCUCCAAAGUCCAGAUUUCUCAUCUGUUAGGUGAUUCUCGCUCAUGCCUUUCUGAGAAAAUGUCAUGACUAUUUCAUCAAACGUGAGAGAGAAGAAUGCCAUCACUGUGAGCAUAUUUUUUUAUUAUAUUAUUUUGUUACACAGCUGCUAUUGAAUUCUUUCUGAUAGAGCACCUACUAUUAUUCAGGUCCUUUGUGACUUUGGUUUUCUCAAGCCAUCUGUUCCCCCUCUAACCACAAGAAGAACUUUAGUUUCCCAAAAUACCCACGGCUAAAUUCACAAGGUUUGGAGGGACAGAAGUGACUCAUUUGCCAGCAACUGCUGGCUUUCUAGAUAGCUCUUUGAUGAUCCCUUGAUUCCCACUGUCUUAUAUGAACACUGCAGAGAUACUGACCAUUUCUCAUUCCUACAGCUCACUUUGUGCCUUGGGCAAGUUACUUCUCCUCCCUGAGUCUUUCUACUCAUCUGUAGUAAGGGAAUAAUGAUACGUACUUUGUGGGUCAUUAUGGAGAUUACAUAUAUGUAAAGUUCUGCUUGUACUACCUAGUACAGAGUAAGCCAAUAUUUGAUGCCUAUUAUUAUAAUUAUUUGCCUUAAACUUAUCUGACUACUUAAGUAAAUGAAGGAGGUGCCAUUAUAAUGAAACGGUUACAAAUGAAUAACCCUGUUCUAUGGGCCUCCAGGCGAACUUGUCCUUUGGGUCAGAAUGGCCAGGCUGUCCCUGUGGGAAGUCUCUUCCCAGCUUCCUUAGUGCCGGCAGGAGUGACCCCCGGGUGUGUGUCAGAGGUGAUACUCCAUGGUAAUGCCAUACUCACCGUGUGGACGAAGACUGGGAUUUCAAUGUCAGCCCCACCAUUUAUUAGCUUGGGACUGUGACAGUGAACACUAUUCAAUCUCAGUUUCUUCAUCUGUAAAUUGGAGAUCGAUUAUAAUAGUAUCCCCAGUAGCUCUUGCAAGGAUUGAAUGAGACAGUGUCGUCAAACACGUAGUGGGAUUCAGUAAACUCUCACUGGUCAGCUUGCUAGCCCAGUCCAGGUGGUGGUCAGAAGGAUCAAAGGCAUGUGGAUUUGUUCUCCUUUCCGUCCUGACAGUCGUAUCCCAGCCCGUGGGGUCAAGACAACCUCGCCAUAGCUUUUUACUGUUUUUAAUAUUAAGACGUUCUUAUAUUGAAUCUGCUUAAAUUAGAAUUCUCCUCGGGUGCCUGGGUGGCUCAGUUGGUUAAGCGUCCGACUUUGGCUCAGGUCAUGAUCUCGCGGUUCGUGGGUUCAUGCCCCAUAUCGGGCUUUGAGCUGACAGUUCAGAGCCUAGAGCCUGCUUCGGAUUCUGUGUCUCCUUCUCUCUCUGCCCCUCCCCACUCUCACUGUCUCUCGCUCUCUCAAAAAUAAGUAAACAUAAAAAAAAAUUAAAAACAAAAAAGAAUUCUCCUCUACUUAGUUAUCCAAAGACAAUCAUCCUUACUGGUGUUUACUCACAAGCCUUUAUAAUACAAGCAUUGAGUAGAUGGAUUUGCAUAUCAAUAAUCAAAGCUAAGACCUACCGAGGGCUUCUGUGUCAAUCACUUGUGUCAUUUAAUUUUUACAUCAAUGUUUUGAAGUGCUAGUCUCACUCUACAAAUGAAAAAACUGAAGCUCAGAGAGGUAACCUUACCCAGAUUUACAGAGCUAAUAAGUUAUUACAUUAUUACAUUACAUUAGCUAUUACAUUAGCUAAUAAGCUAAUAGACCCUGUAUUUGAAUAUAGAGAAUUUAAAUCCACAACUACUUGUAGUAUGAUAUACAUCCCUCAAAAUGCCUUACCAUGUUAAAUACCAUAUAUAUAUAUAAUUUCAACCCAUGUGCUAACAGACCUCUCACUGACAUGCGCCCUGGGGACACCGCUCCGGCAGGACCAAGCUCUCCACUUCACCAUUGGAUUGUCCUGAAUCUCUGAACCUGGGCCAAGCUAUGGCCAUUGUUCAUGAAAAUCUUUCCACGGGAUCGUGCAAAGAAAACAGAGAGGGAGUGCUAAAAACCCAAUAGCAAUCUAGAGCUGACACACUAUAUAGAGAAUGGGCAGUCUGUCAAUCAAACAUUGUAGUUAAAUCAGAGGUUUUAGCAUUUGUAUGGAACAUUAAAUGUCAGUUCCCAAAGAAUAUGCAUAUAAUUUCUAAAACCCAAACUGAGCAUGUUUUCAUCUUUCUUUGGCAAUUCAGAAGUCAUGGGUUGUGUCUCCAGGUCGUUAUCAGACACAUUAGUCACCUCAGUAUAAACUACCAGCCAAAAAGGAAAGUGCAAUUUACAUGGGAUAUACUUGGGGCACCUGGGUGGCCCAGUCAG